CUCCGGGCGGAAGUGACCCGUCGGGAGCCUGACGGGUCCGUCAUGGCAGCCACGGCCGCCUCCCCCGCGCUGAAGCGGCUGGAUCUGCGCGACCCCGGGGCGCUUUUCGAGACGCAUGGAGCGGAGGAAAUCCGCGGGUUGGAGCGCCAGGUUCGGGCCGAGAUCGAGCACAAGAAAGAGGAGCUGCGGCAAAUGGUGGGCGAGCGGUACCGCGACCUGAUCGAGGCGGCCGACACCAUCGGCCAGAUGCGCCGCUGCGCCGAGGGGCUGGUGGACGCCGUGAAGGCCACCGACCAGUACUGCGCCCGGCUCCGCCUCGCCGGCCCGGCCGCCCCGCGGCCGCCACGGGACCCGCAGCCCCAGCAGCCAUCCCAGGAGAAGUUCUACAGCAUGGCUGCCCAGAUCAAGCUACUCUUAGAAAUUCCCGAGAAGAUCUGGAGCUCGAUGGAGGCCUCCCAGUAUCUCCACGCCACACAGCUCUACCUGCUCUGCUGCCACCUUCACAACCUGCUCCAGCUGGAUUCUUCUAGUUCCCGCUUCAGCCCCGUCCUCUCACGAUUCCCCAUACUCAUCCGGCAGGUCGCAGCAGCCAGCCACUUUCGGUCAACUAUUCUGCAUGAAAGUAAGAUGCUGCUCAAAGGCCCAGCCGUGUCUGACCAAGCUGUAGCGGAGGCCCUGUGCUCCAUAAUGCUCUUAGAAGAGAGUUCUCCCCGCCAAGCCCUAACAGACUUCCUGUUGGCCAGAAAGGCAGCUAUUCAGAAACUUCUCGACCAGCCGCACCAUGGUGCCAGCGUCAAGGCCCAGGUUUGCUCAUUAGUGGAGCUGCUGGCCACCACUUUGAACCAAGCUCAUGCUCUUUUCUACACUUCACCGGAAGGUCAGCUGCCAGAUCCAUCCCUGCCGUGUGGCUUGCUCUUCUCAACUCUGGAGACCAUCACAGGCCAGCAUCCUACCGGAAAGGGUGCUGGCGUUCUGCAAGAGGAGAUGAAGCUCUGCAGCUGGUUCAAACACCUGCCGGCGUCCAUCGUCCAGUUCCAGCCGGCUCUCCGAACCCUGGCGCAGCCCAUCAGCCAGGAGUACCUGAAAGACACGCUGCAGAAAUGGAUCCACAUGUGUAAUGAAGACAUUAAAAAUGGGAUCACCAACCUGCUUAUGUACGUGAAGAGCAUGAGAGGUCUCGCAGGGAUCCGCGAUGCCAUGUGGGAAUUACUUACCAAUGAAUCCACCAAUCACAGCUGGGAUAUGAUAUGUCAGCGGCUUCUGGAGAAGCCUCUCUUGUUCUGGGAGGAUCUGAUGCAGCAGCUGUUCCUUGACCGAUUACAGACACUGACAAAAGAAGGCUUUGACUCCAUCUCCACCAGCUCUAAGGAACUGCUCAUUUCAGCCCUGCAGGAGCUUGAGGGCAACACCAGCAACUCCACUUCAAAUAAGCACCUCCACUUUGAGCACAACAUGUCUCUCUUCCUCUGGUCCGAGAGCCCCCAAGACCUGCCUCCCGACGCCGCCUGGGUCAGCGUGGCGCAUCGGGGGCAUUUUGCUGCCAGUGGGCUCUCCAUGAAAGCACAGGCCGUUAGCCCUUGUGUCCAGAACUUCUGCUCUGCCCUAGAUUCUAAACUGAAGGUGAAGCUGGAUGACCUCCUGGCUUACCUUCCCUCUGCUGACGCGUCCCUGCCCAAGGACGUCUCCCCUGUGCCAGCCCAGAGCCGUGCCUUUGACAGGUAUGCGGAUGCCGGGACUGUGCGGGAGAUGCUGCAGACUCACUCGGUGGCGUGCAUCAAGCACAUCACAGACCACAUCCGGGCAGAGCUGCAGAGCAUCGAACAGGUGGUGCAGGGGCAGCAGGAUCUCCUCAGUGGUGUCAAGUGGCAUUCAGUCCUUUUCAUGGCCAGACUCUGCCAGUCUCUGGGAGAACUGUGUCCCCACCUGAAGCAGUGCAUCUUGGGAAAGUCGGGAAGCUCCGAGAGACCAGCAAGGGAUCCCAGGGCUCUGAAAAAACAGGGAAAGGGGAAAGCGCGGGAAAUAAUUCCUAUGCAGGCGAAAUGGCAAGAAGUUAAGGAACUCCUCCUCCAGCACAGCGUGAUGGGCUACCAAGUCUGGAGCUCAGCAGUUGUGAAGGUUUUGGCUCAUGGAUUCACCCAGUCGUUAGUUUUAGAUGACGCCGGCUCAGUGCUGGCCACAGCCACCAGCUGGGAGGAGUUAGAAAUCCAAGAGGAAGCAGAGUCUGGCAGCAGCGUCACGUCCACAAUCCGACUCCCUAUACAGCCAUCCUGGUAUGUCCAGUCCUUCCUGUUUAGCCUCUGCCAGGAAAUUAAUCGGGUUGGAGGCCACGCUUUGCCAAAAGUGACGCUGCAGGAGAUGCUGAGAAGCUGUAUGGUCCAAGUGGUGGCUGCUUAUGAGAAACUUGCAGAAGGAAAACAGGUGAAGAAAGAAGGUGCCUUCCCGAUGACCCAGAAUCGGGCCCUGCAGCUGCUUUAUGAUCUGCGUUAUCUCAGCAUUGUUCUGACAGCCCGGGGUGAGGAGGUGAAAAGUGGCCGCAGCAAACAGGACUCCAGAAUUGAGAAAGUGGCUGACUAUCUGGAAGCACUCAUUGACCCAUUUGACCUGGAUGUUUUCACACCACACCUCAACAGCAACCUUAAUCGCCUGGUGCAACGAACUUCUGGACAAACCCAGCCUGUCACUGUGCCCUGUUUCCUGUCUGCCAGGUUCUAUUUGGAUUGGUCACUGGAACAGAGAAUCAUUUCACCCCCAGGAGCUGCACAUUCAACUCCCAAGAACCCCAUAACAUACUGCCCCUGGCGUCGAGUCAGAUCAGGUUUGGACUUCUUCCCCUGAGCAUGACAACUACCCGAAAGGCCAAAUCAACCAGCAGAAGCAUCGAAACAAAAGCCCAGGUUGUCCCCCCGGCACUCUCCCGAGCAGGUGACCCAACGCAGCCUGGCUCCUUGUUCCGACAGCUGGUCAGUGAGGAAGAAGACGCGUCCACGCCUUUGUUAUUCAAGCUAGGUUGGCUCUCUAGUAUGACUAAGUAACACGGGAACAUAUCCGUCUCUCUCUAAAUAAAUACUACAUCAUUUCUGCUAA